UGGGGAAUCUUGGACAAUGGGCGCAAGCCUGAUCCAGCCAUGCCGCGUGAGUGACGAAGGCCUUAGGGUUGUAAAACUCUUUCGUCGGGGACGAUAAUGACGGUACCCGAAGAAGAAGCUCCGGCUAACUUCGUGCCAGCAGCCGCGGUAAUACGAAGGGAGCUAGCGUUGUUCGGAAUCACUGGGCGUAAAGCGCACGUAGGCGGAUAGUUAAGUCAGGGGUGAAAUCCUGGGGCUCAACCCCAGAACUGCCUUUGAUACUGGCUGUCUCGAGGUCGAGAGAGGUUGGUGGAAUUCCUAGUGUAGAGGUGAAAUUCGUAGAUAUUAGGAAGAACACCAGUGGCGAAGGCGGCCAACUGGCUCGAUACUGACGCUGAGGUGCGAAAG
rnacentral:rRNA from 1 species